rnacentral:rRNA from 1 species
AUGGAGGCCCGGACCGCCAUUGCGCUGCUCCUCGCGCUCGUGGUCGCCGCGAGCUUCCUCUGCGACGGAGUUCACAGCCGCCACCACCACCACACCAAGCGCCACUCCGUGCGGCCGCCGUCCCACGCACCCGGACCUUUAGGCCCGAGGCGGGCUCCUUCACCGAAGCAUGGGUCUCCAUCCGCGCCGCCGCCAGCCAGGACGCCGCCGUCGGCCCCUCCAAUGCCGGGCGCGCCCGCGCCGGCCCCGUCCGACGACGGCGACAACGUGUACGACGUCAUCAAGGACUUCGGCGCCGUCGGGGACGGCGUGACGGACGACACGGACGCGAUCAAGACCGCGUGGGACACGGCGUGCCAGGACGACGGGGAGGGCGUCGUCCUCGCGGCCGCCGGGCACUCGUUCCUGGUGCACACCACCACCUUCACCGGGCCGUGCCAGGGCAGCGUCACGCUGCAGAUCGACGGCACGAUCGUGGCGCCGAGCGAGCCCACGACGUGGCCGGCCAACAGCAAGCGUAACUGGCUCGUGUUCUACAAGGCCGACGGCAUGUCGCUGCGCGGCUCCGGGCUCAUCGACGGCAAGGGGCAGAAAUGGUGGGAUCUCCCCUGCAAGCCUCACAAGGGAGGAAGCACCCACGGACCUUGUGACAGCCCGGUGGCGCUUAGGUUUUUCAUGAGCAACAACGUGACGGUGCAAGGGCUCAGGGUGCAGGACAGCCCGGAGUUCCACUUCCGGUUCGACAGCUGCCGCGGCGUGCACGUCGACAGCCUCUCCAUCAGCUCCCCGGCGCUGAGCCCCAACACCGACGGCAUCCACGUCGAGAACACCCAGGACGUCCUCAUCACCAACACCGUCGUCUCCAACGGCGACGACUGCGUCUCCAUCGGCGCCGGCACUCUCAACGUCCACAUCGAGAACGUCACCUGCGGCCCCGGGCACGGCAUCAGCAUCGGGAGCCUGGGGAAGCAGGGGUCACGGGCGUGCGUGGCCAACAUCACGGUGCGGAACGCGGUGAUCCGGCAUUCGGACAACGGCGUGAGGAUCAAGACGUGGCAGGGCGGCUCCGGUUCGGUGUCGGCGGUGACCUUCGAGAACGUGCGCAUGGACGCCGUGCGCAACCCCAUCAUCAUCGACCAGUACUACUGCCUGACCAAGAGCUGCGAGAACGCCACCACCGCCGUCUUCGUCUCCGACAUCACCUACGCCGGCAUCCGGGGCACCUACGACGUGCGCGGCCCGCCCAUCCACUUCGGCUGCAGCGACGCCGUGCCGUGCACCAAUAUCACCCUCUCCGGCGUCGAGCUGCUGCCCGCCACCGGCGACACCGUCGACAGCCCGUUCUGCUGGAACGUGUACGGCAACACCACGACGCCCAUUGUGCCGCCGGUGGCGUGCCUCAUAGAGGGCGUGCCCAGGAACGUGGAUGAUACUAGCAGCUUGAAGUGUUACUGA